rnacentral:SRP_RNA from 1 species
GUCGGGCGCGGUGGCCCACGCCUGUAGUCCCAGCUACUCGGGAGGCUGAGACAGGAGGAUCGCUUAAGUCCAGAAGUUCUGGGCUGUAGUGCGCUAUGCUGAUCGGGUGUCCGCACUAAGUUCGGCAUCAAUAUGGUGACCUCCCGGGAGCAGGGGGACCACCAGGUUGCCUAAGGAGGGGUGAAUCAGCCCAGGUCGGAAACGGAGCAGGUCAAAACUCCCGUGCUGAUCAGUAGAAUGAGCUACAGUCAUGGCAGAGCUGAAAUUAUCCCCACUGUUACACUAAGUGCCAAUCUA